CUACCAUGCAGUCGAGCGGUAAGGCCCUUCGGGGUACACGAGCGGCGAACGGGUGAGUAACACGUGAGCAACCUGCCCCUGACUCUGGGAUAAGCGGUGGAAACGCCGUCUAAUACCGGAUACGACCCGCCACCUCAUGGUGGAGGGUGGAAAGUUUUUCGGUCAGGGAUGGGCUCGCGGCCUAUCAGCUUGUUGGUGGGGUAACGGCCUACCAAGGCGAUUACGGGUAGCCGGCCUGAGAGGGCGACCGGCCACACUGGGACUGAGACACGGCCCAGACUCCUGCGGGAGGCAGCAGUGGGGAAUAUUGCGCAAUGGGCGAAAGCCUGACGCAGCGACGCCGCGUGGGGGAUGACGGCCUUCGGGUUGUAAACCUCUUUUACCACCAACGCAGGCUUCCAGUUCUCUGGAGGUUGACGGUAGGUGGGGAAUAAGGACCGGCUAACUACGUGCCAGCAGCCGCGGUAAUACGUAGGGUCCGAGCGUUGUCCGGAAUUAUUGGGCGUAAAGAGCUCGUAGGCGGCGUGUCGCGUCUGCUGUGAAAGACCGGGGCUUAACUCCGGUUCUGCAGUGGAUACGGGCAUGCUAGAGGUAGGUAGGGGAGACUGGAAUUCCUGGUGUAGCGGUGAAAUGCGCAGAUAUCAGGAGGAACACCGGUGGCGAAGGCGGGUCUCUGGGCCUUACCUGACGCUGAGGAGCGAAAGCAUGGGGAGCGAACAGGAUUAGAUACCCUGGUAGUCCAUGCCGUAAACGUUGGGCGCUAGGUGUGGGGACUUUCCACGGUUUCCGCGCCGUAGCUAACGCAUUAAGCGCCCCGCCUGGGGAGUACGGCCGCAAGGCUAAAACUCAAAGGAAUUGACGGGGGCCCGCACAAGCGGCGGAGCAUGUUGCUUAAUUCGACGCAACGCGAAGAACCUUACCAAGGUUUGACAUCACCCGUGGACUCGCAGAGAUGUGAGGUCAUUUAGUUGGCGGUGACAGUGGUGCAUGGCUGUCGUCAGCUCGUGUCGUGAGAUGUUGGGUUAAGUCCCGCA
rnacentral:rRNA from 1 species